CUAACUAUCUCACAAUAUAGGUCCCCAACCACUGACCAAACUCCAGUCCAGGCAGCCACCAGCUGGCCUGGUCUUGCUGCUUCCUUUAGCGGCUUCCAAGGUCCAGGGACAGGGGGUCUGGGCCACCAAGAGGCUCUGCUAGGCUGUCCCUGCAGCCACAGCCACCCCACUGGACCCCUGCCUCCCAUCUGAGAGGACAGCCCUCUUCCUGGAGCUGGGAUCUGACACUUGCUGAUACCAACGGCAGAUACCAGGUCAAGGAUUCGGUGACUUGAAGACAGGCCUCCUCUGUUGCUUUGAGUCAAUUUCUAGUACCUGGGCCUAAAUCUUGACUGCACACCGGUCAUAUUAUUGAGGUAACGAGAUGUGAGCAGAAACAACCUGUGUCACACCUGGGCAGAAGCUUUAAAGGCCAGUGCUGCCCUUGUUGGGGAAGCAAGUAUAGAUAUGAAUCGUUCCACAACGCGGAGCGCCCCCUGCCGACCCAUGCUGGGCGUGUACUAUAGGUAUAAGAAUAGUCUUUGGAGCAUCAUCUGAGAUAGUGAGCCAAGAUCGUGCAACUGCACUCCAGCCUGAGUAACAGAGUGAGACUCCAUCUCAAAACAAACAAAUAAACAAAACAGAAUAAAUAUACUCAGGAUAUUUACAAAAAAAAAAAAAAAAAAAAAAAAA
rnacentral:lncRNA from 1 species